GAUUGUAAGGGCAAUCUGGCUGUGACAUCUGUCACCCUACUGUUUGCCAGGGUUGAUUCGGCUGAUUUGUCUGGCUGUACGGGUGAUCUCCUCCCUCGCCACUCCAUGUGCGUCCCUCCCGAAGCUGUGCGCGUGGUCAAAGAGGACGACCUUCCCCCAGUAGAUGAGGAGCGGUCUUCCGUCAAGGGUACAGUAGUAGCUGGACUCCCCUGCUAGAACCUCCAAACAAGCUCUCAAGAGGUGGCCCAGCAUGGGGUUUUGGAGCCUGACAGGAUGAGAAAGGGAAAAAGGAUGUCUUCA
rnacentral:snRNA from 1 species